rnacentral:rRNA from 1 species
UACGUAGGUGGCGAGCGUUGUCCGGAAUCACUGGGCGUAAAGGGUGCGUAGGCGGGUCUUUAAGUCAGGGGUGAAAUCCUGGAGCUCAACUCCAGAACUGCCUUUGAUACUGAGGAUCUUGAGUUCGGGAGAGGUGAGUGGAACUGCGAGUGUAGAGGUGAAAUUCGUAGAUAUUCGCAAGAACACCAGUGGCGAAGGCGGCUCACUGGCCCGAUACUGACGCUGAGGCACGAAAGCGUGGGGAGCAAACAGG